rnacentral:rRNA from 1 species
CAAUAGCGUAUAUUAAAGUUGUUGCAGUUAAAAAGCUCGUAGUUGGAUCUCGGGUUUGGGCGGACGGUCCACCUCGCGGUGGCUUACUGUCCGACCCGACCCGCCGGCCGGUUCUUACCCCUGGUGCUCUUGACUGAGUGUCUCGGGUGUCCGGAACGUUUACUUUGAAAAAAUUAGAGUGUUCAAAGCAGGCGCGUCGCCUGAAUAGUGGUGCAUGGAAUAAUGCAAUAGGACAUCGGUUCUAUUUUGUUGGUUUUCGGAACUCGAUGUAAUGAUUAAGAGGGACGGACGGGGGCAUUCGUAUUGCGGCGUUAGAGGUGAAAUUCUUGGAUCGUCGCAAGACGAACUACAGCGAAAGCAUUUGCCAAGAAUGUUUUCAUUAAUCAAGAACGAAAGUCAGAGGUUCGAAGACGAUCAGAUACCAU